UCCUACGGGGGGCAGCAGUGAGGAAUAUUGGUCAAUGGGCGGGAGCCUGAACCAGCCAAGUCGCGUGAGGGAAGACGGUCCUAUGGAUUGUAAACCUCUUUAGGCGGGGAGCAAUGCCGGGCACGCGUGCCCGGAGGGAGAGUACCCGCAGAAUAAGCAUCGGCUAACUCCGUGCCAGCAGCCGCGGUAAUACGGAGGAUGCGAGCGUUAUCCGGAUUUAUUGGGUUUAAAGGGUGCGUAGGCGGAUUUUUAAGUCGGCGGUAAAAUGUCCGGGCUCAACCCUGGCCGGCCGUUGAACCUGGGGG
rnacentral:rRNA from 1 species